GUCCACGCCCUAAACGAUGUCUACUAGUUGUCGGGUCUUAAUUGACUUGGUAACGCAGCUAACGCGUGAAGUAGACCGCCUGGGGAGUACGGUCGCAAGAUUAAAACUCAAAGGAAUUGACGGGGACCCGCACAAGCGGUGGAUGAUGUGGAUUAAUUCGAUGCAACGCGAAAACCUUACCUACCCUUGACAUGGACGGAACCUCGGAGAGAUUUGAGGGUGCUCGAAAGAGAGCCGUUACACAGGUGCUGCAUGGCUGUCGU
rnacentral:rRNA from 1 species